GACGAACGCUGGCGGCGUGCUUAACACAUGCAAGUCGAACGGAAAGGCCCUGCUUUUGUGGGGUGCUCGAGUGGCGAACGGGUGAGUAACACGUGAGUAACCUGCCCUUGACUUUGGGAUAGCUUCAGGAAACUGGGGCUAAUACCGGAUAGGAGCUCCUGCUGCAUGGUGGGGGUUGGAAAGUUUCGGCGGUUGGGGAUGGACUCGCGGCUUAUCAGCUUGUUGGUGGGGUAGUGGCUUACCAAGGCUUUGACGGGUAGCCGGCCUGAGAGGGUGACCGGCCACAUUGGGACUGAGAUACGGCCCAGACUCCUACGGGAGGCAGCAGUGGGGAAUAUUGCACAAUGGGCGGAAGCCUGAUGCAGCAACGCCGCGUGCGGGAUGACGGCCUUCGGGUUGUGAACCGCUUUCGCCUGUGACGAAGCGUGAGUGACGGUAAUGGGUAAAGAAGCACCGGCUAACUACGUGCCAGCAGCCGCGGUGAUACGUAGGGUGCGAGCGUUGUCCGGAUUUAUUGGGCGUAAAGGGCUCGUAGGUGGUUGAUCGCGUCGGAAGUGUAAUCUUGGGGCUUAACCCUGAGCGUGCUUUCGAUACGGGUUGACUUGAGGAAGGUAGGGGAGAAUGGAAUUCCUGGUGGAGCGGUGGAAUGCGCAGAUAUCAGGAGGAACACCAGUGGCGAAGGCGGUUCUCUGGGCCUUUCCUGACGCUGAGGAGCGAAAGCGUGGGGAGCGAACAGGCUUAGAUACCCUGGUAGUCCACGCUGUAAACGGUGGGUACUAGGUGUGGGGUCCAUUCCACGGGUUCCGUGCCGUAGCUAACGCUUUAAGUACCCCGCCUGGGGAGUACGGCCGCAAGGCUAAAACUCAAAGGAAUUGACGGGGCCCCGCACAAGCGGCGGAGCAUGCGGAUUAAUUCGAUGCAACGCGUAGAACCUUACCUGGGUUUGACAUGGAUCGGGAGUGCUCAGAGAUGGGUGUGCCUCUUUUGGGGUCGGUUCACAGGUGGUGCAUGGCUGUCGUCAGCCCGUGUCGUGAGAUGUUGGGUUAAGUCCCGCAACGAGCGCAACCCUUGUUCACUGUUGCCAGCACGUUAUGGUGGGGACUCAGUGGAGACCGCCGGGGUCAACUCGGAGGAAGGUGGGGAUGACGUCAAGUCAUCAUGCCCCUUAUGUCCAGGGCUUCACGCAUGCUACAAUGGCUGGUACAGAGAGUGGCGAGCCUGUGAGGGUGAGCGAAUCUCGGAAAGCCGGUCUCAGUUCGGAUUGGGGUCUGCAACUCGACCUCAUGAAGUCGGAGUCGCUAGUAAUCGCAGAUCAGCAACGCUGCGGUGAAUACGUUCCCGGG
rnacentral:rRNA from 1 species